rnacentral:rRNA from 1 species
GACAGAGGGUGCAACCGUUGCUCGGAAUCACUGGGCGUAAAGGGCGUGUAGGCGGGAAGUAAAGUCAGAUGUGAAAUCCCUGGGCUCAACCCAGGAACUGCAUUUGAAACUCACUUUCUUGAGUACCGGAGAGGAAGGCGGAAUACCUGGUGUAGAGGUGAAAUUCGUAGAUAUCAGGUGGAACACCAGCGGCGAAGGCGGCCUUCUGGACGGUAACUGACGCUGAGACGCGAAAGCGUGGGGAGCAAACAGG